rnacentral:rRNA from 1 species
CCGGCCGCGGUACCCUAACCGUGCGAAGGUAGCAUAAUCACUUGUUCUUUAAAUGAGGACUCGUAUCAACGGCAUCACGAGGAUCCUACUGUCUCCCCCCUCUAAUCGGUGAAACUGAUCUCUCCGUGAAGAAGCGGAGAUGUACAUAUAAGACGAGAAGACCCCAUGGAGCUUUAAACCCAACAACACCCGCCCCCCUCCAAAUCCUAUUAUUUACCCGGUGAUUGUUUGUUUGGUUUUAGGUUGGGGUGACCGCGGAGUAUAAGAUAUCCUCCAUGAAAAAAAGCUAACUGCCCUUAUUAGAGAAAGACACUUCCAAAAAAUAAUAAAUUAAUUUUAAAUGAUCCGACAUUCGAUCAACGAACCAAGUUACCCUGGGGAUAACAGCGCAAUCCGUCCCGAGAGCCCCUAUCGACAGGCGGGUUUACGACCUCGAUGUUGGAUCAGGGUAUCCCAGUGGUGCAGCAGCUACUAAAGGUUCGUUUGUUCAACGAUUAAAACCCU